UAUGUGAUCGUCUCUCGCAUAUCAAUAAGCGGAGGAAAAGAAACUAACAAGGAUUCCCCUAGUAACGGCGAGUGAAGCGGGAAGAGCUCAAAUUUGAAAUCUUAAAGGGUUUCCCUUUACGAAUUGUAGUUUAAAGAAGUGUUUUCUGUUGAGGUUUUGGUAAAAGUUCUUUGGAAUAGGACAUCAUAGAGGGUGAGAAUCCCGUAUUUGACCUUUACUUUCAACUUUGUGAUACACUUUCAAAGAGUCGGAUUGUUUGGGAAUGCAGUCCAAAAUGGGUGGUAAAUUUCAUCUAAAGCUAAAUAUUGGCGAGAGACCGAUAGCGAACAAGUACCGUGAGGGAAAGAUGAAAAGAACUUUGAAAAGAGAGUUAAACAGUACGUGAAAUUGUCCAAAAGGGAAGCGUUUGACACCAGUGUUGUUUUUCUGAAAAUCAAUUAAAGAACUGUUUAUGCUAAGCUGUUUAGACUUUAUCAGCUAUCUGUUUAGUUUUGAGCUUUUCUUUAAUGCACUUUUCAGUUAACAAGUCAACAUCAAUUUCUUUUGCUGUAAAAAAGCUUGAGGAAGGUGGCUUGAGAUUCGUCUUAAGUGUUUAUAGCCUCUUGCCUAUGCAGUCGGAGAGAUUGAGGUCUGCAGCGUAGAUCCUUCGGGGCUAAAUGCAUUUGUGCUAAGUUACAGCAUUUUAUAGACAACUUGUUGACUAUGAUUUGUCUUGUAGCUUACUCGCUUAUGUUAUUUUACCUACGCUUAGGAUGUUGAGCGCAUGUCUCUCUCU
rnacentral:rRNA from 1 species